AAAUAGGCAUGUGGUGACUUCAGUAACAGAGAGGACUGCAGGGCUGACCUAAGCUUAGUAGCCUGGCUUCUCCGGGAGCUGAGGGUGAGCCUCAUGCCCACUCCAUCUCCCUCUUUGUUGUGGAUAAGGCAGGGUCAUCAAGACAGGAGGAUAUGAGGCAGAAUCACCACACAAGAUGAGGAAAUGGAGGAUGAAAGGCAGAGUAGGUUGCCUAAGGUGAUAAGAGGAGGAAAUAACGGCGCGAGAAGUCGAACCCACUCCAGAUCCGCCCAUGCAAGACACAAGAAGCCACAGGAGGAGGAAGGGGCAGGCGGGAACUUAGAGCACCUUGGCGUGCCCAGCCCGGCGCCUACUCCCUCUCCUCUGCGCCGCUGGAGGCCUCGAGUUCGUGUCCUCUCGGCGCCUGCCUGGCUCCCCUUCCGAGGCCGCAGCGCCCUGCCAUGCUGGCCUCCCCGC